AGAGAUUGUAAGCGCUACCGGAGUUCAUGCCAUGCCUAUGGAGUCAGUGCUCUGAAGGGGUCUUGAAAAGAUGCUGGUCUUAACUUGUCUGAAGUGGAAUGUUUGAAGGGUGGGGCGUGGUGGUGGCAGAGGAAAAUCCUGAAGCACAGAGGUCAGAGUCAGGUGGAUGAAUGGAAAGAAGACUGCCUGAGAUGUUCUCUUUCCAGAGAAGCAAGAAGACAAAGAUGGAUAAAGUAGAUGAAAGACAAGCAGCGUAGGAAGAGGACUUCAGGCCUUGACCGUGAGUUGUGUGACCUCAGUAAGCUGGAAUCCAAUUCAAAAUAGACUGCAGUGAGUGAGACUUGAAGAAGAUAGCAAUGGACAGCAAAGGGCACAGCAGAAGUGAAAGGAGGCAGUGCACACCCGCGAUGGUUUACAGGCUUAUGGGGAAUUAGAAGUGAUCUGAAAAUAUACUUGAGAGGAAAUGGGUAUGUGAGAAGAGCCUUGGAGGAGAAGCAGGUAUGAAUCAUGACUGUAAAUAAAUUCAGUGGGAACCUAAAAAAUAUGACAUGCAAAACUCAAGGAUCUCAAUUCUGCUUUGAAGGUAAAGGGAAGUGUAACAAGGAUCAUGGCGCUGGGAACACUAUGAUUAAAUUCUCACCUUUGGUUCACAUGAAAGAGUUUACCCUGCUCCCCACAUCUACCCUCACCCCAACACACACAUAUUCUAGGUAAAUUCAGUGAAAUUUUGUAUUGUUUUCUAUUAUGGAAGUCAGUUGUCCAGGCCAAGAAAAUAACCUACCCUAAAACUGUCUUUAAAUGCUUAAAAAGGCAUGCAAAUAUUAAGUUAGGUCUAAACUCUCCACUAAUUAGGGAAUCCCAAUGAAUGCAAUACUGAGAUAAUCCUUUUGCCAAUCAGAUUGGGGAAAAAGAAUCACAUAUUAGAUGGUGUUGGUGUCCCAUCCAUGUCCCCUUGGCUGAGCCUAGAAGAGUUUGCCUGCAGACGCUUCACAGAUAUGUUGACAUUUUCCCGUGUCUUCCUCCAGAGGGCUUUUUUCUGGAUGCAGGGGCAAUUAACCAUUGAGGGUCAGUGGAUAAAUACUCCACUUCCUUGCCUUUCAUUGAGAUAAUUCUAAGUUGUGUUCCAUGUACCCUCUCUGAAUUUUCCCCCAAUGACUGAGACCCAGUUGCUCAUACAGUAGGGUAAUCAAGUCAUUCUAGCUUUCUUGAAACAGGCCCAGUUUUAGCAUGGAAAGUCCUGUGCCCUGGGAACCCCCUCAGUCCUGCAUGAACUAGGAUAGUUGACCACACUACCGUAGAGGUAACUGGCUAGUCAAUGCACUCUUUAUUGGUUUUCCUCCCUUCCCUGUCUCACUUCCCCAUUCCCUCACAGUGAUUCUUGAGAUCAUCUCCUAAAUAAAUUAUUACAUACUUAGAAUUAUGUAUUGUUCUUUUCGUUGUCUUUCAUCUGUGCUAGAUUCUAAGUUGUUAGGGUAAGAGCCCUGUUUUAUUCAAUACUGUCUGUUCACAGCAUCUAACACAGUGCAUGAAGCAUAGUUCGUAUUCAGUACUUAUAGCUCAAUGAAUGGACCCCGUAUCAUUAACCAAGCAGAUUUAACAGACAUUAUUUGUUGCUGUGUGUCAAUGCCAGCGUAUUUGUUCCUCUUGAGUUUCCAUAGAAACCUUCCAGCCACACUGAUCAGGUUGUAGGUCAUUAGUAGUUUUACAGAAGUGAUGUAUUAUUGAAGUCUUUUAUACCUUUUGAUCAUCUUAUUAUUAUUCAUCCCAUAUAAGAGUUUUGAAAACUACAAGUGGAAUAAGGACAAAAAUCAACGUGUGAGUAGUGUUAUCUUGAUUAAGUGCUUUGGUUAUACAUUUUCUCAUUUAAUCCUCAGAGCAACCUC
rnacentral:lncRNA from 1 species